rnacentral:rRNA from 1 species
CCUUUAUCAGGGGGAUAGCCUUUCGAAAGGAAGAUUAAUACCCCAUAAUAUAUUAAGUGGCAUCACUUGAUAUUGAAAACUACGGUGGAUAGAGAUGGGCACGCGCAAGAUUAGAUAGUUGGUAGGGUAACGGCCUACCAAGUCUACGAUCUUUAGGGGGCCUGAGAGGGUGAUCCCCCACACUGGUACUGAGACACGGACCAGACUCCUACGGGAGGCAGCAGUGAGGAAUAUUGGACAAUGGGUGAGAGCCUGAUCCAGCCAUCCCGCGUGAAGGACGACGGCCCUAUGGGUUGUAAACUUCUUUUGUAUAGGGAUAAACCUAGAUACGUGUAUCUAGCUGAAGGUACUAUACGAAUAAGCACCGGCUAACUCCGUGCCAGCAGCCGCGGUAAUACGGAGGGUGCAAGCGUUAUCCGGAUUUAUUGGGUUUAAAGGGUCCGUAGGCGGAUCUGUAAGUCAGUGGUGAAAUCUCACAGCUUAACUGUGAAACUGCCAUUGAUACUGCAAGUCUUGAGUGUUGUUGAAGUAGCUGGAAUAAGUAGUGUAGCGGUGAAAUGCAUAGAUAUUACUUAGAACACCAAUUGCGAAGGCAGGUUACUAAGCAACAACUGACGCUGAUGGACGAAAGCGUGGGGAGCGAACAGGAUUAGAUACCCUGGUAGUCCACGCCGUAAACGAUGCUAACUCGUUUUUGGAUUUUCGGAUUCAGAGACUAAGCGAAAGUGAUAAGUUAGCCACCUGGGGAGUACGUUCGCAAGAAUGAAACUCAAAGGAAUUGACGGGGGCCCGCACAAGCGGUGGAUUAUGUGGUUUAAUUCGAUGAUACGCGAGGAACCUUACCAAGGCUUAAAUGGGAAAUGACAGGUUUAGAAAUAGACUUUUCUUCGGACAUUUUUCAAGGUGCUGCAUGGUUGUCGUCAGCUCGUGCCGUGAGGUGUUAGGUUAAGUCCUGCAACGAGCGCAACCCCUGUCACUAGUUGCCAUCAUUAAGUUGGGGACUCUAGUGAGACUGCCUACGCAAGUAGAGAGGAAGGUGGGGAUGACGUCAAAUCAUCACGGCCCUUACGCCUUGGGCCACACACGUAAUACAAUGGCCAGUACAGAGGGCAGCUACACAGCGAUGUGAUGCAAAUCUCGAAAGCUGGUCUCAGUUCGGAUUGGAGUCUGCAACUCGACUCUAUGAAGCUGGAAUCGCUAGUAAUCGCGCAUCAGCCAUGGCGCG